GUCGGUGUUUAUGGCACAGAGGUCACACCCGUUCCCUUUCCGAACACGGAAGUUAAGCUCUGUCGCGAAGACGAUACUUGGCUGGCGACGGCCUGGGAAACUAUUUCAAUGCCGGCA
rnacentral:rRNA from 1 species